rnacentral:rRNA from 1 species
GAUUAACGCUGGCGGCGUGCAUAACACAUGCAAGUCGAACGAUGAAACUUUACUGACUUCUUCGGAAUGAUUUAAAGCGGAUUAGUGGCGAACGGGUGAGUAACGCGUGAGUAACCUGCCUUACACAAGGGGAUAGCCUCUGGAAACGGAGAAUAAUACCCUAUGAAACCAGACAAUCGCAUGAUAAUCUGGUCAAAAUGUUUAGUGGUGUAAGAUGGACUUGCGUCUGAUUAGCUAGUUGGUGAGAUAAAAGCUCACCAAGGCAACGAUCAGUAGCCGGCUUGAGAGAGUGUACGGCCACAUUGGGACUGAGACACGGCCCAGACUCCUACGGGAGGCAGCAGUGGGGAAUUUUGCACAAUGGGGGAAACCCUGAUGCAGCGACGCCGCGUGAUUUAGAAGGCCCUCGGGUUGUAAAAAUCUUUUGUAUAGGAAGAAAAUGACAGUACUAUACGAAUAAGGUCCGGCUAAUUACGUG